UUUCCUACGGGAGGCAGCAGUGGGGAAUAUUGGACAAUGGGCGAAAGCCUGAUCCAGCCAUGCCGCGUGUGUGAAGAAGGUCUUCGGAUUGUAAAGCACUUUAAGUUGGGAGGAAGGGUUGUAGAUUAAUACUCUGCAAUUUUGACGUUACCGACAGAAUAAGCACCGGCUAACUCUGUGCCAGCAGCCGCGGUAAUACAGAGGGUGCAAGCGUUAAUCGGAAUUACUGGGCGUAMAGCGCGCGUAGGUGGUUUGUUAAGUUGGAUGUGAAAGCCCCGGGCUCAACCUGGGAACUGCAUCCAAAACUGGCAAGCUAGAGUACGGUAGAGGGUGGUGGAAUUUCCUGUGUAGCGGUGAAAUGCGUAGAUAUAGGAAGGAACACCAGUGGCGAAGGCGACCACCUGGACUG
rnacentral:rRNA from 1 species